rnacentral:rRNA from 1 species
GACGAACGCUGGCGGCGUGCCUAACACAUGCAAGUCGAGCGGAGAUACAUUGAAGAUUUAUCGGAUAUGUAUCUUAGCGGCGGACGGGUGAGUAACGCGUGGGCAACCUGCCUCAUACAGGGGGAUAACACUGGGAAACUAGUGCUAAUACCGCAUAAUAUCAUGAUAUGGCAUCAUGUUAUGAUCAAAGGAGCAAUCCGCUAUGAGAUGGGCCCGCGGCGCAUUAGCUAGUUGGUGAGGUAACGGCUCACCAAGGCGACGAUGCGUAGCCGACCUGAGAGGGUGAUCGGCCACAUUGGGACUGAGACACGGCCCAGACUCCUACGGGAGGCAGCAGUGGGGAAUAUUGCACAAUGGGGGAAACCCUGAUGCAGCAACGCCGCGUGAGUGAUGACGGCCUCGGGUUGUAAAGUACGUCUGUCUUCUAGGGUACGAGUAAUAGUACGGUACCGUCGAGGAAGGAAGACCGAACGGCCGUAAACG